ensembl:lncRNA
CCCUUCUCCCCCCCUGCACAGUGUUGCCAACUCCUCAAUCAAGAAAGUAGCUGUUGACUGUCCUGAAAAUCGCUAGAAGUCUCUAAAUGACGUCAUCGCCUAAUUUGCAUAAUUGGCCAUGUGCAUGUAAUUGUGAUAGACGCUGUAGGAGAGAGGAAUGAAGUCGUGGGAGAGACAAAAAACCCGCCUCCACACACACCCAGGCUGUGCUGGCUCACAGAAAGAGUGUGUCGUCAUUUUGGUCAAGGCUCUCUAUGGUACUUAGAAACACGUACAUCCGUGGACUCAUCGAGGAGGAGGCUGAAACGCUGGUCACCCACAUCCGUGGACUCAUCGAGGAGGAGGCUGAAACGCUGGUCACCCACAUCUGCAACCAACUUUUUCAGAAAGUAUAGUGCUAGAACACCAUUAAUAAUUUCUGUGCACUUUGUCCUGUGCAUUUUGAAGUGGGUAGCAGCAGUGGAGUCUGAGAAAGCAGCUCUAUAUGCUUCUCGAAUGUGAUCACAUGCCAGCAUGGAACAGUGUUCAGCGAUAGCUAAUGCCAUGGUGGCCUCAGCCUUUUUUGCAGAGUCCAUAUUUAACCUUAAAUGGCAGCUUGUUUUGGGUGGAACUGUUAUAGGGCUUUGCCUUUUGAGUAUGUUUUCGAGUUGUCAUGUGUUUUUUUACAUCACUAAGUUUGGCGUAGAAAUCAGCCUUACAAUACAGGCAGUAUGCUAGUGUAUCAUCUCCAAUAAAUGGAUUCAAC